UACAGAGGGUGCAAGCGUUGUUCGGAAUUAUUGGGCGUAAAGCGCGUGUAGGCGGCUUUGCAAGUCGGGUGUGAAAGCCCUCAGCUUAACUGAGGAAGUGCGCCCGAAACUGCAGAGCUUGAGUACCGGAGAGGGUGGCGGAAUUCCCCAAGUAGAGGUGAAAUUCGUAGAUAUGGGGAGGAACACCGGUGGCGAAGGCGGCCACCUGGACGGAUACUGACGCUGAGACGCGAAAGCGUGGGGAGCGAACAGG
rnacentral:rRNA from 1 species